rnacentral:rRNA from 1 species
UACGUAGGGGGCGAGCGUUGUCCGGAUUUAUUGGGCGUAAGGAGCUCGUAGGCGGCUUAGCAAGUCGGGUGUGAAAACUCCAGGCUCAACCUGGAGACGCCACUCGAGACUGCUAUGGCUAGAGUCCGGUAGGGGACCACGGAAUUCCUGGUGUAGCGGUGAAAUGCGCAGAUAUCAGGAGGAACACCGGUGGCGAAGGCAGCUCGCUGGGACGUUACUGACGCUGAGACGCGAAAGCGUGGGGAGCAAACAGG